rnacentral:misc_RNA from 1 species
UCCGAGUUGACCCCGGCAGUCUCUUAUGAGUCCCCACCAUUACGUGCUGGCAACAUAAGACGAGGGUUGCGCUCGUUGCGGGACUUAACCCAACAUCUCACGACACGAGCUGACGACAGCCAUGCACCACCUGUGAUCCUGCCCCGAAGGGAAGCCCUGUUUCCAGGGCGGUCAGGAACAUGUCAAGCCCAGGUAAGGUUCUUGGCGUUGCGUCCAAUUAAACCACAUGCUCCACCGCUUGUGCGGGCCCCCGUCAAUUCCUUUGAGUUUCACCCUUGCGGGCGUACUCCCCAGGUGGAUUACUUAACGCUUUCGCUAAGACGCCGACUGUUUAUCGCCGACAUCGAGUAAUCAUCGUUUACAGCGUGGACUAC